UUUGUUAAUGUGCAAGAAAAUUUGUACUGUCCCAUAAUUAUUCCUACAACUGACAAACCCCACAGGGAGUGUACAAAGAAUUAAAAUCAUUUCUGGAGACUAGACCACGUGCAGAAGAAAAAAAGUCACCUUCAUUGUUUUACAGUUCUUCAAGCCAGAUGUUCCAUAGGACAAAGGUGUUAUAUCUUCAUGUGAUCAUCCUCUGCACAAUAUUGCUCAUAAAAUGCUUCACAGUGCUACACAAAUAAACAUCUCAUCCUUCUGAGGGUUAAUUUGGGAUGUGUACUCCUUUCAUUCUAAGUCAACAACAAACAAAAUCUAUCUGAAAGGGUUAUUAAGAGGGCAUGGAAGCAAUAUUCUGCAGAAAGGGAAUUAACAGCAGUGGAAACAUUAAGCUGCUGUACUCCCAAAAGAAGACAAGAAUUUGAAAAUCACUCUGAAACUCAAUAACGAAAAAGGAGAGUAAUGUGAGAAUCUCUGCCAUAAUGAACUUCUGUCUAUUCUUCUGUAGUGCAUGCACUACUAUUUCAUGGCUGUUUACUACAAC
rnacentral:lncRNA from 1 species